CGGGGCUAAUACCGGAUAAUAUCUAUUUAUACAUAUAAUUAGAUUGAAAGAUGGUUCUGCUAUCACUUACAGAUGGGCCCGCGGCGCAUUAGCUAGUUGGUGAGGUAACGGCUCACCAAGGCGACGAUGCGUAGCCGACCUGAGAGGGUGAUCGGCCACACUGGGACUGAGACACGGCCCAGACUCCUACGGGAGGCAGCAGUAGGGAAUCUUCCGCAAUGGACGAAAGUCUGACGGAGCAACGCCGCGUGAGUGAUGAAGGUUUUCGGAUCGUAAAACUCUGUUGUUAGGGAAGAACAAGUACCGGAGUAACUGCCGGUACCUUGACGGUACCUAACCAGAAAGCCACGGCUAACUACGUGCCAGCAGCCGCGGUAAUACGUAGGUGGCAAGCGUUGUCCGGAAUUAUUGGGCGUAAAGCGCGCGCAGGCGGUUCCUUAAGUCUGAUGUGAAAGCCCACGGCUCAACCGUGGAGGGUCAUUGGAAACUGGGGAACUUGAGUGCAGAAGAGGAAAGUGGAAUUCCAAGUGUAGCGGUGAAAUGCGUAGAGAUUUGGAGGAACACCAGUGGCGAAGGCGACUUUCUGGUCUGUAACUGACGCUGAGGCGCGAAAGCGUGGGAGCAAACAGGAUUAGAUACCCUGGUAGUCCACGCCGUAAACGAUGAGUGCUAAGUGUUAGAGGGUUUCCGCCCUUUAGUGCUGCAGCAAACGCAUUAAGCACUCCGCCUGGGGAGUACGACCGCAAGGUUGAAACUCAAAGGAAUGACGGGGGCCCGCACAAGCGGUGGAGCAUGUGGUUUAAUUCGAAGCAACGCGAAGAACCUUACCAGGUCUUGACAUCCUCUGACAAUCCUAGAGAUAGGACUUUCCCCUUCGGGGGACAGAGUGACAGGUGGUGCAUGGUUGUCGUCAGCUCGUGUCGUGAGAUGUUGGGUUAAGUCCCGCAACGAGCGCAACCCUUGAUCUUAGUUGCCAGCAUUCAGUUGGGCACUCUAAGGUGACUGCCGGUGACAAACCGGAGGAAGGUGGGGAUGACGUCAAAUCAUCAUGCCCCUUAUGACCUGGGCUACACACGUGCUACAAUGGAUGGUACAAAGGGCUGCAAGACCGCGAGGUUUAGCCAA
rnacentral:rRNA from 2 species